AAUUAUGGUGGGGCGUACAGGGCCAGCAUCAGCUGGGCCGGGUCCUCUGUUAGCCGGUAGUUCCAACCCUGUGCGUCUCACCACCCCG
rfam:Citrobacter rodentium ICC168, complete genome